rnacentral:rRNA from 1 species
ACGGGUGAGUAAUGUCUGGGAAACUGCCCGAUGGAGGGGGAUAACUACUGGAAACGGUAGCUAAUACCGCAUAACGUCUUCGGACCAAAGUGGGGGACCUUCGGGCCUCACACCAUCGGAUGUGCCCAGAUGGGAUUAGCUAGUAGGUGGGGUAACGGCUCACCUAGGCGACGAUCCCUAGCUGGUCUGAGAGGAUGACCAGCCACACUGGAACUGAGACACGGUCCAGACUCCUACGGGAGGCAGCAGUGGGGAAUAUUGCACAAUGGGCGCAAGCCUGAUGCAGCCAUGCCGCGUGUAUGAAGAAGGCCUUCGGGUUGUAAAGUACUUUCAGCGGGGAGGAAGGCGAUGUGGUUAAUAACCGCGUCGAUUGACGUUACCCGCAGAAGAAGCACCGGCUAACUCCGUGCCAGCAGCCGCGGUAAUACGGAGGGUGCAAGCGUUAAUCGGAAUUACUGGGCGUAAAGCGCACGCAGGCGGUCUGUCAAGUCGGAUGUGAAAUCCCCGGGCUUAACCUGGGAACUGCAUUCGAAACUGGCAGGCUUGAGUCUCGUAGAGGGGGGUAGAAUUCCAGGUGUAGCGGU